rnacentral:rRNA from 1 species
UACGUAGGGUGCAGGCGUUAAUCGGAAUUACUGGGCGUAAAGCGUGCGUAGGCGGUUUGUUAAGACAGGUGUGAAAUCCCCGGGCUUAACCUGGGAACUGCGCUUGUUACUGGCAGACUUGAGUGUGGCAGAGGGGGGUGGAAUUCCACGUGUAGCAGUGAAAUGCGUAGAUAUGUGGAGGAACACCGAUGGCGAAGGCAGCCUUCUGGGCCAACACUGACGCUCAUGCACGAAAGCGUGGGGAGCAAACAGG